rnacentral:rRNA from 1 species
GACGAACGCUGGCGGCGUGCUUAACACAUGCAAGUCGAACGGAAAGGCCCUGCUUUUGUGGGGUGCUCGAGUGGCGAACGGGUGAGUAACACGUGAGUAACCUGCCCUUGACUUUGGGAUAACUUCAGGAAACUGGGGCUAAUACCGGAUAGGAGCUCCUGCUGCAUGGUGGGGGUUGGAAAGUUUCGGCGGUUGGGGAUGGACUCGCGGCUUAUCAGCUUGUUGGUGGGGUAGUGGCUUACCAAGGCUUUGACGGGUAGCCGGCCUGAGAGGGUGACCGGCCACAUUGGGACUGAGAUACGGCCCAGACUCCUACGGGAGGAAGCAGUGGGGAAUAUUGCACAAUGGGCGGAAGCCGGAUGCAGCAACGCCGCGUGCGGGAUGACGGCCUUCGGGUUGUAAACCGUUUUCGCCUGUGACGAAGCGUGAGUGACGGUAAUGGGUAAAGAAGCACCGGCUAACUACGUG